AGUGAACGCUGGCGGCAUGCUUUACACAUGCAAGUCGAACGGCAGCGCGAGCUUCGUCGUGCCCGCGAUGGGCGAACGGGGGAGUAAUGCAUCUGAACGUGCCCAGUAGUAUUGGAUAGGGCUACGAAAGCGGGAUUAAUACCGCAUACGACCUGAAGGUGCGAGCGAGGGACCGAGAUCCCUCGCGCUAUUGCAGCUGGCGAUGUCGGAUUAGCUAGUUGGUGGGGUAAAGGCUUACCAAGGCGACGAUCCGUAGCUGGUCUGAGAGGACGACCAGCCACACUGGGACUGAGACACGGCCCAGACUCCUACGGGAGGCAGCAGUGGGGAAUUUUGGACAAUGGGCGCAAGCCUGAUCCAGCCAUGCCGCGUGCGGGAAGAAGGCCUUCGGGUUGUAAAGCGCUUUUGUUCGGGAAGAAAAGCUGUGGGCUAAUACCCCGGGGUCAUGACGGUACCGGAAGAAUAAGCACCGGCUAACUACGUG
rnacentral:rRNA from 1 species